rnacentral:tRNA from 1 species
GCCUGGGUGGCUCAGUCGGUUGAGCGUCUGACUCUUGAUUUUGGCUCAGAUCGUGAUCAUGGGGUCGUGAGAUCAAACCCCGCCUUGGGCU